GUAGGGAAUAUUGGUCAAUGGACGCAAGUCUGAACCAGCCAUGCCGCGUGCAGGAAGACGGCCUUCUGGGUUGUAAACUGCUUUUUUCAGGGAAGAAAACACUCUUGCGAGAGGGAUUGCCGGUACCUGAGGAAUAAGCACCGGCUAACUCCGUGCCAGCAGCCGCGGUAAUACGGAGGGUGCAAGCGUUGUCCGGAUUUAUUGGGUUUAAAGGGUGCGUAGGCGGCCCGUUAAGUCAGUGGUGAAAGGUAUCAGCUCAACUGAUGAAGUGCCAUUGAAACUAACGGGCUUGAGUACAGACGAGGUAGGCGGAAUUUAUGGUGUAGCGGUGAAAUGCAUAGAUACCAUAAAGAACACCGAUAGCGAAGGCAGCUUACUAGACUGAGACUGACGCUGAGGCACGAAAGCGUGGGGAGCAAACAGG
rnacentral:rRNA from 1 species